rnacentral:tRNA from 1 species
GGUCACAUAGCUCCAACUGGUUAGAGUAGCCGGAGUGCUAACCCGGCAGGUUACGAGUUCGAAUCUCGUUGUGAUCACCA